AUUAUCAACCUAUACAACUAAACACAACAUUAUCAACCUGCUACAACAUUAUCAACCUAUACAACUAAACACAACAUUACCAACCUGCUACAACUCAACACAACAUUACCAACCUGCUACAACUAAAUACAACAUUAUCAACCUGCUACAACAUUAUCAACCUGUACAACUAAACACAACAUUAUCGACCUGCUACAACUAAACACAACAUUAUCGACCUGCUACAACUAAACACAACAUUACAACCUGCUACAACUAAACACAACAUUAUCGACCUGCUACAACUAAACACAACAUUAUCGACCUGCUACACAGAGAGGAACCAAGCAUAAAUGUAUUUUUCCAUUGAUUGAAAAUAGCUGUCACUGCAGGGGGAUGUUUGUAGCCAUCUUUUCAUUUUAUUUUCUCCUUCAUGUGGGAACAUCUAUAAUAUUAGACCCAUCUCUUUAUUCUCUUGAAUGACUUGUACAGACCAGGGUCUGUACCGACCCCGAGCUGGACUGAGGAGGUUUUAUACAGACCAGGGUCUGUAUCGACCCCGAGCUGGACUGAGGAGGUUUUAUUCAGACCAGGGUCUGUACCGACCCCGAGCUGGACUGAGGAGGUUUUAUACAGACCAGGGUCUGUAUCGACCCCGAGCUGGACUGAGGAGGUUUUAUUCAGACCAGGGUCUGUAUCGACCCCGAGCUGGACUGAGGAGGUUUUAUACAGACCAGGGUCUGUAUCGACCCCGAGCUGGACUGAGGAGGUUUUAUACAGACCAGGGUCUGUACCGACCCCGAGCUGGACUGAGGAGGUUUUAUACAGACCAGGGUCUGUACUGAGCUGGACUGAGGAGGUUUUAUACAGACCAGGGUCUGUGAUCAACCAAGAUGGACUGAGGAGGUUUUAUACAGACCAGGAUCUGUACCGACCCAGAACUGAACUGAGGAGGUUUUAUACAGACCAGGGUCUGUACCGACCCAGAGCUGGACUGAGGAGGUUUUAUACAGACCAGGGUCUGUACCGACCCAGAGCUGGACUGAGGAGGUUUUAUACAGACCAGGGUCUGUGAUCAACCAAGAUGGACUGAGGAGGUUUUAUACAGACCAGGGUCUGUACCGACCCAGAACUGGACUGAGGAGGUUUUAUACAGACCAGGGUCUGUACCGACCCCGAGCUGCACUGAGGAGGUUUUAUACAGACCAGGGUCUGUACCGACCCCGAGCUGGACUGAGGAGGUUUUAUACAGACCAGGGUCUGUACCGAGCUGGACUGAGGAGGUUUUAUACAGACCAGGGUCUGUAUCAACCCCGAGCUGGACUGAGGAGGUUUUAUACAGACCAGGGUCUGUACCGACCCCGAGCUGGACUGAGGAGGUUUUAUACAGACCAGGGUCUGUAUCGACCCAGAGCUGGACUGAGGGGUUUUAUACAGACCAGGGUCUGUACCGAGCUGGACUGAGGAGGUUUUAUACAGACCAGGAUCUGUACCGACCCAGAACUGGACUGAGGAGGUUUUAUACAGACCAGGGUCUGUACCGACCCAGAACUGGACUGAGGAGGUUUUAUACAGACCAGGGUCUGUACCGACCCAGAGCUGGACUGAGGAGGUUUUAUACAGACAGGGUCUGUGAUCAACCAAGAUGGACUGAGGAGGUUUUAUACAGACCAGGGUCUGUAUCAACCCCGAGCUGGACUGAGGAGGUUUUAUACAGACCAGGGUCUGUACCGACCCAGAGCUGGACUGAGGAGGUUUUAUACAGACCAGGGUCUGUAUCGACCCCGAGCUGGACUGAGGAGGUUUUAUACAGACCAGGGUCUGUACCGAGCUGGACUGAGGGGUUUUAUACAGACCAGGGUCUGUACCGACCCAGAGCUGGACUGAGGAGGUUCUAUACCUGGUCUGUGUUCAACCAAGAUGGAAGAGGAACGACUCAAACAUCCGAAUCUUAGUGCCAAGGUUACCGUGGAAACAGAGGAGGGGAACUGAUUUGUCUAAGUAACUAAUAUUAAAACAUUAAAAAAAUAA
rnacentral:lncRNA from 1 species